UACGGGGGGGGCAAGCGUUGUUCGGAUUUACUGGGCGUAAAGGGCGCGUAGGCGGCGUGACAAGUCACUUGUGAAAUCUCCGGGCUUAACCCGGAGCGGCCAAGUGAUACUGUCGUGCUAGAGUGCGGAAGGGGCUACUGGAAUUCUCGGUGUAGCGGUGAAAUGCGCAGAUAUCAGGAGGAACACCGGUGGCGAAGGCGGGUCUCUGGGCCGAUACUGACGCUGAGGAGCGAAAGCGUGGGGAGCGAACAGG
rnacentral:rRNA from 1 species